rnacentral:rRNA from 1 species
UUUAUGGAGAGUUUGAUCCUGGCUCAGGAUGAACGCUGGCGGCGUGCCUAAUACAUGCAAGUCGAGCGAACGGACGAGAAGCUUGCUUCUCUGAUGUUAGCGGCGGACGGGUGAGUAACACGUGGAUAACCUACCUAUAAGACUGGGAUAACUUCGGGAAACCGGAGCUAAUACCGGAUAAUAUUUUGAACCGCAUGGUUCAAAAGUGAAAGACGGUCUUGCUGUCACUUAUAGAUGGAUCCGCGCUGCAUUAGCUAGUUGGUAAGGUAACGGCUUACCAAGGCAACGAUGCAUAGCCGACCUGAGAGGGUGAUCGGCCACACUGGAACUGAGACACGGUCCAGACUCCUACGGGAGGCAGCAGUAGGGAAUCUUCCGCAAUGGGCGAAAGCCUGACGGAGCAACGCCGCGUGAGUGAUGAAGGUCUUCGGAUCGUAAAACUCUGUUAUUAGGGAAGAACAUAUGUGCAAGUAACUGUGCACAUCUUGACGGUACCUAAUCAGAAAGCCACGGCUAACUACGUGCCAGCAGCCGCGGUAAUACGUAGGUGGCAAGCGUUAUCCGGAAUUAUUGGGCGUAAAGCGCGCGUAGGCGGUUUUUUAAGUCUGAUGUGAAAGCCCACGGCUCAACCGUGGAGGGUCAUUGGAAACUGGAAAACUUGAGUGCAGAAGAGGAAAGUGGAAUUCCAUGUGUAGCGGUGAAAUGCGCAGAGAUAUGGAGGAACACCAGUGGCGAAGGCGACUUUCUGGUCUGUAACUGACGCUGAUGUGCGAAAGCGUGGGGAUCAAACAGGAUUAGAUACCCUGGUAGUCCACGCCGUAAACGAUGAGUGCUAAGUGUUAGGGGGUUUCCGCCCCUUAGUGCUGCAGCUAACGCAUUAAGCACUCCGCCUGGGGAGUACGACCGCAAGGUUGAAACUCAAAGGAAUUGACGGGGACCCGCACAAGCGGUGGAGCAUGUGGUUUAAUUCGAAGCAACGCGAAGAACCUUACCAAAUCUUGACAUCCUUUGACAACUCUAGAGAUAGAGCCUUCCCCUUCGGGGGACAAAGUGACAGGUGGUGCAUGGUUGUCGUCAGCUCGUGUCGUGAGAUGUUGGGUUAAGUCCCGCAACGAGCGCAACCCUUAAGCUUAGUUGCCAUCAUUAAGUUGGGCACUCUAAGUUGACUGCCGGUGACAAACCGGAGGAAGGUGGGGAUGACGUCAAAUCAUCAUGCCCCUUAUGAUUUGGGCUACACACGUGCUACAAUGGACAAUACAAAGGGCAGCGAAACCGCGAGGUCAAGCAAAUCCCAUAAAGUUGUUCUCAGUUCGGAUUGUAGUCUGCAACUCGACUACAUGAAGCUGGAAUCGCUAGUAAUCGUAGAUCAGCAUGCUACGGUGAAUACGUUCCCGGGUCUUGUACACACCGCCCGUCACACCACGAGAGUUUGUAACACCCGAAGCCGGUGGAGUAACCUUUUAGGAGCUAGCCGUCGAAGGUGGGACAAAUGAUUGGGGUGAAGUCGUAACAAGGUAGCCGUAUCGGAAGGUGCGGCUGGAUCACCUCCUUUCU